CACAAGGACACCAUUGUGCCUACGGGCACCACUUUGUCAAUCCCUGCCAUAACCUAGCUAUGUGUUGCUGAUUUCCAGCUCAUAAACUUCUGUUCUCAGUGACGAUGCUGCACCCUUGCAGUGUGACUCAGGGAUAAUACCCCAAAUGGUAUGUCUGUAUGCACCUUGUCCCCCCAUCUCACCUUAACUUGAGACUCUCUUUCCUCCUCCAUCUUCAGCCGAGCGCUGCGAGCACAGAUGGAGCAACUCGGGGGAAAUCGCCUCCAAUGGCGAAUGUUAAUGGCAAACCUUGCCGCCAGUUUGCACCUUUCCUUCCUGGAGCUAGUCCAAGGCUGCCGCAAACACAAAAGGAUUCAUCACUCUCCAGCUGUCUGCAGACAGGCAAGCCGAGCACAAUGUUUGACAGGGAAAAAUAAUUACUCUGCCAGCAUUCCUGUAAUCCGUGGUUUGGAUUUUUAAAAAAGGGAACAACAGAAUUGGGGCUCCCGCUCCCUGGGGAAGGGGUUCAGUGGCGCACCCCCACCCAAGCGCAUUCCAUCAGGGAUGCUAUUCUCCAUUCUGUCUUGUAUCAGACAUAUGGUGCUUGGGUAGGAGAGGUGAGAUCAACAGAUGGCAUUCGCUUGAACUACGCCCUCCUUGAUCUUCUUGGCACCUUCCUGCUGGCACACCAACCGAUGUUAUGGAAAUCCAAAACUAAGUUCAGAACUGGGGAUGAGGGAUAAAUUCACUUCACAUUUAAAGGUGAACUUGCCUGCUUCACACUUUAUGAAACAAUACACAAACUGACACACAACCAUCCUUCGGAAUUCACACUUCAUUGAAUUUUGCAAUGCAGUUUUCUGACUAAGCUUUCCACUCUGGGAGCCACUCUGGGAGCCCUUUUGGCUGAAGGCCAGGGGACAGGUGAUAGUGGUGGCAGUGAUGCUUAGCAUUCAGACUAGUGUUCAUGGUCUCUCCCCCCCGUAAGUUGCCUGAGAGUUGUAGUUUGGCAUCAUUUGGGCAUGGCCAGCCAUACUAUUACUCAGAGAAGAAGCAGUCUCCUCAGGCCAGGUGCCACAAAAGAGCAGCAGAUUUAAGGAAAAGGUUGUAGUAUAGUAGUCAGGUAGGAAACUAAAAGAAGGAAGCAGCUGGAGGGAAUAACUGAAUGUUUCAGUUGUCUCUAUACUAAUGCACAGAGUAUGGAAAAAAGCAAGACAAAUUUGAGCUCUUAAUAGGCAUUACUGAAACCUGGUGAGGUGAGGCUCAUGAAUAGAAUGUAGAACUUGAGGGGUAUAACAUAUUCAAAAGGAAUAGACCAAACAGGAAAAGAGGAGGAGUAGCAUUAUAUGUAAAGGACGUGUAGACUUGUGAAGAGACCCAUGACCUGGAGCAUGGAAAGCAGAUUGAGAGUAUAUGGGUAAAAAUUGUAGCAGAGGGAAGCAACAGUGACCUAACUGGGUGUCUGCUGUAAAUCCCCAAGCCACACUGAAGACUUGGAUGAUGCCUUCCUACAUCAGAUUACCAAAAGGAAAGCUAUAGUAGUUACAGGGGACUUCAACUACCCCAAUAUCUGUUGGAAUUCAAACUCUGCAAAUGAUGUAAGGUCCAACAAAUUCCUCUGUUGUCUUGCUGACAAUUUCAUUUCCCAGGAGGUGGAAGAAGCAACAAGGGGAUCAUCUAUCUUGGACCUGGUCCUCACCAACAGAGAGGAACUGAUUGACAAACUGGAAGUACUGGGAACCCUGGGAGGAAGUGAUCAUGUCCUCUUGGGUUUCAUGAUACAGAGGCAAGGGAAAGCUGAGUGUAGUCGGGCAUGCACUUGUGCCAACUGCAAUGGUUGCUUUAGCUGAGAUUCCUGCAUUGCAGGGGCUUGGACUAGAUAACCCUCAGGGUACCUUCUACAGUUCUAUGCUUCUGUCUCACUUUUGCACGGACGGCCCCAGGUUUAAUCCCCGACAGCAGCAGAUACGGACAGAGGACAAAUUACGAUUUGGUUUGCAUUUAAAGGUGAACCUACCUAAUUAACCCAUUCUGCCCUUCACGAAAAGGCCCCAGGGCCUGUUACAGCAAUAUAAAAGUUAUCAGAGGACUUGGGGGUGUUCCCAUAAGCAUCUGGUUAGCACAAAAUGCUGGAGUAGAUGGGCCACAGGCCUGAUCCAGCUACAAGGCUCUUCCUACAGGAUGGUAUCUGCAGAGAGCCUCUCAACUGCAGUGCACAGGGAUCGACAGGGUGUAUAAGGGAUGAGAUGAUCUUUCAGGUCACUUGCUAUUUCUAAAGGCUUGUGGGAGUUUCCCUUUCCCUUGAGGGAAAACCCCUGUGCUUGAUUUGGGGGAGAACGUGCGUUUGGAAGAAGUCAACAACAACAAAAUAAGACUCCCUGCAGCUUUACAUGCAUGCGCUCACUGAACACCGAGCCGGAGAAACCAGAUAAAGCUAAGAGUCCAUGAAAAGCUAGUUAUGUGGAGACGACAUGCUAAACUGUGUUUGCACAACAUAUAUCAUGCUAAUAAACUAUGAGCUCCUG